GAUGAACGCUAGCGGCAGGCCUAACACAUGCAAGUCGAGCGGUAGAGGACCUUCGGGUUCUUGAGAGCGGCGCACGGGUGCGUAACGCGUAUGCAACCUACCCUUUACAGGGGAAUAGCCCGUCGAAAGGCGGAUUAAUGCCCCAUGGCUCCUUUGAGAGGCAUCUCUUGAAGGGUAAAGAUUUAUCGGUAAAGGAUGGGCAUGCGUGCCAUUAGCUUGAUGGUGGGGUAACGGCCCACCAUGGCUACGAUGGCUAGGGGUUCUGAGGGGAAGGCCCCCCACACUGGGACUGAGACACGGCCCAGACUCCUACGGGAGGCAGCAGUGAGGAAUAUUGGUCAAUGGGCGGAAGCCUGAACCAGCCAUGCCGCGUGCGGGAAGAAGGCGCUACGCGUCGUAAACCGCUUUUGUCCGGGGGUAACCGCGGGGACGUGUCCCCGCCUGCAAGUACCGGACGAAUAAGGGUCGGCUAACUCCGUGCCAGCCGCCGCCGUAAAAC
rnacentral:rRNA from 1 species